AACGAACGCUGGCGGCAGGCUUAACACAUGCAAGUCGAACGCCCCGCAAGGGGAGUGGCAGACGGGUGAGUAACGCGUGGGAACGUGCCCUUCGCUUCGGAAUAGCCCCGGGAAACUGGGAGUAAUACCGAAUACGCCGUAUUGGGAAAGAUUUAUCUGCGAAGGAUCGGCCCGCGUUGGAUUAGGUAGUUGGGGGUGUAAUGGACCACCAAGCCUAGGAUCCAUAGAUGGUCUGAGAGGAUGAUCAGCCACACUGGGACUGAGACACGGCCCAGGCUCCUACGGGAGGCAGCAGUGGGGAAUCUUGGACAAUGGGCGCAAGCCUGAUCCAGCCAUGCCGCGUGAGUGAAGAAGGCCUUAGGGUUGUAAAACUCUUUCGCCGGAGAAGAUAAUGACGGUAUCCGGAGAAGAAGCCCCGGCUAACUUCGUGCCAGCCGCCGCGGUAA
rnacentral:rRNA from 1 species